GAUGAAGAACGUAGCGAAAUGCGAUAAGUAAUGUGAAUUGCAGAAUUCAGUGAAUCAUCGAAUCUUUGAACGCACAUUGCGCCCGCCAGUAUUCUGGCGGGCAUGCCUGUUCGAGCGUCAUUUCAACCCUCAGGCCCCCAGUGCCUGGUGUUGGGGAUCGGCCCAGCCUUCCUGUAAGGCCGCCGGCCCCGAAAUCUAGUGGCGGUCUCGCUGUAGUCCUCCUCUGCGUAGUAGCACAACCUCGCAGUUGGAACGCGGCGGUGGCCAUGCCGUUAAACACCCCACUUCUGAAAGUUGACCUCGGAUCAGGUAGGAAUACCCGUUGAACUUAAGCAUAUCAUAAGCGGAGGA
rnacentral:misc_RNA from 1 species